rnacentral:rRNA from 1 species
UACAGAGGGUGCGAGCGUUAAUCGGAAUUACUGGGCGUAAAGCGCGCGUAGGCGGCUUUGCAAGUCGGACGUGAAAUCCCUCGGCUUAACCGGGGAACUGCGUCUGAUACUGGAUGGCUUGAAUCCGGGAGAGGGAUGCGGAAUUCCAGGUGUAGCGGUGAAAUGCGUAGAUAUCUGGAGGAACACCGGUGGCGAAGGCGGCAUCCUGGACCGGCAUUGACGCUGAGGAGCGAAAGCCAGGGGAGCAAACGGG